rnacentral:rRNA from 1 species
GAUGAACGCUGGCGGCGUGCCUAAUACAUGCAAGUCGAGCGAACGGACGAGAAGCUUGCUUCUCUGAUGUUAGCGGCGGACGGGUGAGUAACACGUGGAUAACCUACCUAUAAGACUGGGAUAACUUCGGGAAACCGGAGCUAAUACCGGAUAAUAUUUUGAACCGCAUGGUUCAAAAGUAAAAGACGGUCUUGCUGUCAUUUAUAGAUGGAUCCGCGCUGCAUUAGCUAGUUGGUAAGGUAACGGCUUACCAAGGCAACGAUGCAUAGCCGACCUGAGAGGGUGAUCGGCCACACUGGAACUGAGACACGGUCCAGACUCCUACGGGAGGCAGCAGUAGGGAAUCUUCCGCAAUGGGCGAAAGCCUGACGGAGCAACGCCGCGUGAGUGAUCAAGGUCUUCGGAUCGUAAAACUCUGUUAUUAGGGAAGAACAUAUGUGUAAGUAACUGUGCACAUCUUGACGGUACCUAAUCAGAAAGCCACGGCUAACUACGUG